UAGAGGAGCCACUGCCUGUGUCAGAAGGCAAAUGGGACCAAUCAACUUGUGAGCUGUCGAAUGACACAGUGAGUCCCUGCCUCUGCAACUUUUGUUAUUUCUUCCCCUCAACUUACUUCAAUUGUUUCCACAACUUAGUUACAGACUAGGACAAGUUGCCAGAGAUCUACAGGCACGUCCCACAGCCCGGAGCAAGCUCCUCUGUGCUUCACUAUAACAGUAAGACCAGAGGUGGGUGACAGCACCAUGAAGGAUUAACGAGCAAGGUACUGGGGGAAAAAAGCCUGUAGGAGUAUCCAGAUCCUUUUCCGGAAAAAGAAAACAACACAACUCUAGUUACUGUAAACAAACAUUUUUUUCUUAAGUGGUAGAAACUAAAACCAGAUAAACAGCUAUGGACACAAUGAAAUUCGUGUGAAUCUACCUGGCUUAGCACUGAAGGAGCAACCCAAAGCUACAAUUAAGAGUCUUCUGCAAGCACAAGAGGGCAGGCUGACGCACAUUAUGGAUCUUGCCAACAACAGAGGUCUCAACUUGUUGCUCAAUUUUCUACUCAUUUUCUUGGUUCUAGUGCUUGCAUUUAUCCUUGUGAAGCUGAUGUGAACUUCUGCAAGGUUGUGCUUCCUUCUCAGGCCUUGUUUUGAGUGCUUUGCAGUGAUAAUGUAGACACUUAAAAAUAUCUAAAUAUAAGUAUGCAAAGACUGCAGAGGCUGAAACAUCUGACAGAAUGUGUUCCCACACCAAAUUUAUCAGAAAGCAAUCCUAAAAGCUGUGCACAACUAUCUGCCUACCAUUGAGUGAAAAAAGCAUCUAGAGCCUUGCUGAGUACCUGAAGAAAUACGACUACGCAUCAGCAGCUAUGAUAGUUUCUCACUGCUACAGCUGAUUGGUAUUUAAAAGACCUACAAAUUACCUUCAGCCUUCAAAGAACAUCAUUUCUGCAAAAGCAGAAAUCAAACUUUUAAAAUGGAUUUCUGUAGAACAGGUACUUCAUGGGAAAUGACAAGGGUACAGCAGGAAGGAAAAACAAAAUGCCAACACUGAGUUGACAGCACACAUCAAAUUACCUGUGGAGAGAAAAGCACAGAUGUUGCAGAUGGAAUCAAAGCAGCUUGCAGCAGCCGAGAUGGGGAUAAGUGAAGGUUAAAUAUGAAAACAUAAUUAUUAGUUAUACCUUUUUUCACCACCUAUGGUUCACUGCAGCACCUCAAAAGCCAGAAGCCCUAGUGUUAUCCAGCAGUAUCAGAAGAAGCAGCUGUCAAAACAACUGAAAAACAGGGGACCUUUAACCAGGGUUAUCACAACUCUGCCUAGGAAACCCUUAACACUGGCACAUACACAAGGAGUAGGUGCAUCUGCACAAACCCAACAAGUGUGUCACAGCCUCAGUAAGAUGGAUUUACCACUUAGGCACAGGUCAAGUGAGCAGUAUGGGAGCCCUCCAGCCAUAUUUGACAGACCACUUGUUACUUGCCAGUGCAAUCAUCCAGUCCAUCCAUAGCUGGUCCUUCGGAAGGACAGUGACCAACAAGAGCACACUUCUCUUGGAAUUAUAUGCCGAGAAGGCAGUUCUGCAUACCUGAGACACACCAGCAAGGGAGGUGACCAGAAGCAGAUUUUUGUACAUUACACUGGGGCCAAACAGCUCCCUCUUAGCAUUUCACUUUCCCAAAUGAAACAUGGGAACAGUGUGCACCAACACACACACAUUGUACAGUAAACUUAAUGUCAUAGAUAUCUGUAUUAACAGUCUUUUUUUUUUUUUUGAUACAUGCAAAAGAAGCAGAUGUUGCUCAUGGGGUGGGAGAAGCCCCAGCUUCCAGCUUUCUGCUACCAACAGCACAUCCCUGACUGAGCACAUACACUGCUGAGUGCCAAGCACAUUACAGAGCUUAUCUGUUCAUGUUCACACCCAGAAUUUCCAUAUGAUUACUGUUGUUCUGGGUGGUUCAGUUAUCGUGAAGAGACCAAUCUAUAUAGAUCUUCGGUAGACUUUACACAGUUUGAAAAGGCAGUAUGCCCAGCAAACCAGAAAGUUUAUGCAAGUCCUACCAUUAUUUAUCAUCCACGUUCCACUCCAUGCUACCUGCUCCAAAGCUUAGGCAGUGUUAGUGCGCUGGUUUGGGCUGGAAUAAAGUUAAUUUUCUUCCUGGCAUAGUAGCUAGCAUGGGACUAUGGUUUAGAACAAGUCCAAAACAUAGUUCAUACCAGCUACAAUGAAGAAAAUUAACUCUACCCCAGCCAAACCAGCAUGAUUAGUUACAGCAGCAUGGAUACUUAAAAUGAAAGCUUUUCUUUCACCUGCUCUGAAACAGGUGCAAUAAACAUUUUAAAUAGCUUCUGCAAACUACACAUCCAUAGCUUUUUAAUGUUGGUAGUUAUAGUAGUAUGAAUUCCCAUCUGUUUCCAUUUAAAGCAGAAAACUUUGCAUAGCUAUAUCAUUGUAAGUAGUUUAUCAUUUGUUUUGAUAAUCUUGAAAUAUUCAGCUUUAAAAAACUAACAAACCCUGUAAAUUUAUAUACAAGUCGCAUAUGUGAUAAUAGUUACAUAGCUGUGUAUUGUUUAGGAGGACUUCUGCUGACGCUUGACAUAGAUGGCUCAAAGCACACCAAAACCACAGAAACAAAUAGGAAGCCCACUCUAGUCUAAAGCAGAAUAAAAACAGUUUUCCCAACAAAGUGGUUAUUUGCUGAUAUACUUCCUGGGACUAUAGAAAGCUUAUUGUCUGUAUGACAUUCUGUACUAUUCAAAAGUUUCCUUUUCUUAGGGACACCACUGUGACAGCGGUUGGCCUUCACAAAAAAUGAGGUCACAUACUCCUUUCUAAUAGCAGGAGAAAGAUGAGCCUAGUGCCACCAACUAUCACAUAUUUCCAGAUCCCAAGUCACAUACAAGGGAAGUCUUCUGUAAGAAAUUCUGCCAUUAGAGCAUGGAGAAACAAGCCCAAGAAACAACCCCAGUAGCCUCCUCUCAGCCAGCAAUGAACAUUACAGAAUCCUCAAUAAAUGUUGAAACACGCUGCUGACACUGAGACAUGUAUUUUACUGAGAUGACAUAUAAAGUUGGCAAAGUCAUCAGCUAACCAAUGCCAAGUCUCUUUUUUGCCAUCAAGCCCAGUCCAAGUCUGGUUUCCCAUCGUCUGCUCGUGUUUACUCCAGAAUGAACUCACAUAUGCACCACAGUGAAUGGAAUGCCAUUUGUUGGGCUACCAACUUCACAGCAAAUGGAACAGACCAAGACCAUAAAAGCUUAAUUAUGACUCACAGAGAAGGAGCUCACUAUGAUAACUGAAAGUGAUAAUUCCUCAUAUUAAAAAGUUUUAUCUGCCUGGAAAGUAUGAUUUCAUCAAACCAUGAUGCAGGCAAAAUGUUGAUAUUAAUAAUUUUUAGUUUUCUGAUCUGCCAGGAUUGUAAAAAGAACUAGCUUUGAGUUGACAUUUAAGAAUAAAGUUUUAUGUGGCAACGACAUUAUUUGAAGAAUGUUAUAACCUUUUCAUUUGAUUACA